ensembl:snoRNA
UUCUUUUUCUGGUUCCCAAGCAUGGUGAUUGGGUUUUCACACUACUAUGUGAGAUGUGCCUCCCUCAAAACUUGCUACUACAUAGUACCCAUUUGAGG